UGGGGAAUAUUGGACAAUGGGGGAAACCCUGAUCCAGCGACGCCGCGUGCGUGAAGAAGGCCUGCGGGUUGUAAAGCACUUUCGGUGGGAACGAAAUAUGCCGGGCUAAUACCCCGGUAGGCUGACGUUACUCAAUGAAGAAGCACCGGCUAACUCUGUGCCAGCAGCCGCGGUAAUACAGAGGGUGCGAGCGUUAAUCGGAAUUACUGGGCGUAAAGCGCACGUAGGUGGCUAUGUAAGUCGGGUGUGAAAUCCCCGGGCUCAACCUGGGAACUGCAUUCGAGACUGCAUAGCUGGAGUACGGAAGAGGAGGGCGGAAUUCCCGGUGUAGCGGUGAAAUGCGUAGAUAUCGGGAGGAACAUCAGUGGCGAAGGCGGCCCUCUGGUCCAGUACUGACACUCAAGUGCGAAAGCGUGGGGAGCAAACAGGAUUAGAUACCCAUGUAGUCCCUGAGCGGGCUGGCAAGGCGCAU
rnacentral:rRNA from 1 species